GUGUGUUAAAAUCAAGACUGCUGCCCCUGUGGGAUGGAACCAAGGUUGAUGAGGUGUGUUAAAAUCAAGACUGCUGCCCCUGUGGGAUUGAACCCAUAUUGCUGAGGUGUGUUAAAAUCAAGACUGCUGCUCCUGUGGGAUGGAACCAAGGUUGCUGAGGUGUGUUAAAAUCAAGACUGCUGCCCCUGUGGGAUGGAACCAAGG